CUCCUCUAUUGAUUGUGGGGGGGUGGGGGAGUGUUGUGGAACUGUAGGUCUCAUGCCGCAGCCGAGGAGCUUCUCCUGCUGCUGAUUUUUUACAAAGCAUAUUUAUUUAGGAAGGGGUAGCGGAUAUGUGGAAGAAAUGGUUCCUAAACUAGUCUGUUUGGAACGAGUUACAAUCAGUUAAGAGUUGGUUCUUGAGCUGCUUCGAAUAGUUACAGAUAAAUGUUUUCUAACAAAACAUUUUAUUUACGGAAGAAUGAAAAAUUGAGGUGCCAUUUGUUAUUCCAAUUAUACAUUGGAAAACAUUCCAUAUAUAAUCAGAAAAACAUUGGCUACAACUGGACACUCUGCAGAUACCACAGAACCUGAGGAGCUUUUCCCACUUGAUCACAAAAUCUAUUCAAUUUCAAUUAUGUUCAUUUUUUUCCCCACCU
rnacentral:misc_RNA from 1 species